rnacentral:lncRNA from 1 species
UUAUAUAUAUAUAUAUAUAUAUUGUUGAUGAUGAAGAAGAUGGGUAGAAGAAACAAUAUUUAUGUAAUGACGAUUGUUCUGAUGAUUGGCAUUACAAUGGUUGUAGGGCAAGUGGAUGAGCAAGAACUUGUUUAUGGUUUUGGGGCGGGACUGAACAUGUUGCUAGACCUAGACAUGAUCCGAGUUAGCAGCAUACCCCCAGAAGAAAUAUUAAUUCUAGGCGCAUUUCUAGACGAGCUUAAUGAUUUUCUAGGCGUACCUUCGGCAGGGAAUUGAUUUAAGUAAUAUUGUACGUCAGCUGCAAAUUUAAGGGGUUUACAUGGUUUCUCCUUUAUAUGUUUUGAAUGUUUUAAAUAAUAUGUUAUGUGAUUAUAUCGGGAUCUUAAACUCAUCAAAUAUAUAAGCUUUAAAUUAAUAAACUUAUAAUGUUGAUUUGUGC